GUUCUGGAUGCUCCAACACUGGAGGUUUUCAAAAAGAGAUUGGACAGCCACUGGUCUGAAAUGGCAGAGGGUCUUCCUGCUUCAGCAGGGGGCUGGACUAGAAGACCUCCAAGGUCCCUUCCAACCCUAUUCUGAUUCUGA